UCAAUCUGCAGUUUGGUUCAGACAUGCAGUGGAUGUAAUAGCUGAUUUACUGAUACAGACUAGGAUCUUUUUGUUUUUAAUUCGUAGGCAUACAGGUAAUCUGCAGAUGGCUGAAACGUGCAGCAUAAAGCUGAAAUAAGGAUAUUGCUGAGCAUCUCAGAACAGCACCGCUUAACCGUCAGUUUAAAAGAAGUGUUGAAGGAGCCAUUUAUCACACGGAUUCCCAGCACCGCUACAGUUGGGGUUCAGAAAUAUGAGAGUAAGAGACGAAGGAAGCUUAAAGCACAUGAAGAACUAUCAUGAACUCUGCUACAGAGUUGGGAAGAAAGGAAAAAACAUCCCUACCACACAGGCAAAAGGGCACAGUGUGAGAAGAAGUGAUGAAGUAUCUGUCUAAUCAGAAGAAAUAAAGGAGAAUAAACUUGUUUCUUUA